AUGUCCAGCAAUGCCAGGACCUGCCCGGCCUGCCAGACGGGCUCCAUAUCCUGCGGCGACCUGCACGCCAAGUGUGAGGUCUGUCUCGGGGCUCAUCACGCUGGCCUGGCCUUGACCCCCCAGGCCUCGUGCCCAUUUUGUGCCACUCUGCCCGUGGCUGAAAAGAUCCGUUGGGUCGAGUACUUCACCCCCGCCGCCGACGAGGAAUUUCCGGUGGCUGACACAUACUCGCUGGACAAGGCCUUACAGUUCUUCAACGUCGGCCAGGAGCCGGCUGGCUUCAACCGACUGGACAAUGUCAUCGACAGUGAGGAGUACGACGAGGCUGGCUGCCAUAGCCCUUCUUCCCUCCUGGACAACAAGGAGGUCGACAAGCGUCGCUCAGCGGGUCCUUCUGCUCCAGUGACUUCUCGCUCCUCCCUGCCAGCAGUUAGAGCGCUGCUCCAGGAGCUGCCUGCCGUCAUCUCCGUGGCUGCGGUCCGCAAGGGGCUCGCCGUGCCAGAACCGGCACCGCCUGAAGCAGAUGAUUUGGUGGGAAUUUUUAGGGCAACACAAACGCGCUGUCCAGACCCCAUCUGGCCGCGCUUCCCCGCUGCCAUGAGCUGCUGCUCCGCCGCCUUCUCCGGACCUGCUAUGCUCAAGGUGCUAAUUUCCACAUAUGCGCCCAUUACCAAGGUCGAGUGCUUCUCCGACCAAGGCUGGCCAUCCGUUCCUCCACUGGGGGGGUUUAAAGUCUUUGAUGGCGAGUCUGGUCAGGAGCAACAGGGAACAAGGAAGUUGUCAGACAAUCCAGCCAGCAAGGAUCCAGCGGUGAGAUGCUCACUCUGUAGGAGCAUCUUCAGAGGACGGCAGAGGAAUAUAAGUGGUCUUGUGCUGGUGCACCCAUUUUCCCACCAGAUGGUCAGCCACACCUCUCUACUUCUCCUUUGCCUCGUCAUAGACGUCCCCGCCAUAAGUGUUACGGCCACCAGCCUGGCCUCUUCAGGUGCAGGAGCCAGGAUCACCCAGACCCGGUGA
rnacentral:lncRNA from 1 species